rnacentral:lncRNA from 1 species
UUUUUCCAUAUUCUAGAGACGGAUAUGGUGAUUAGACGAUCAAGCACUUGAUUUCUAAUACUAGCAAUUCUGUAUCUCGAACUUCUAAUACUGACAAUUUUGGUUCAUUGUCGAGCACUCAGACUAUUUAUAUGGUGAUGGCUGCAACAUAACCAUCAGUUGAAGUACAUAUGUACAAGGCUAUGACUCGUGCUGCCGUUCUGGCACGCAAUUAUCUAAAAUUUUGAACGUUGGAUUCUUCAAUACCACUCUGAUCCAGUCAUCGAUGUGAAGGUACAUUGAUCCAUAAUAUUUCUUGUUAUUUGCAUCUCAUAUGUUGCUUUGAAAAAAAAAUGAGAAACCUGACCAGAGAUGCUAGCAAUGAUUUAUGUUCAAAGAUGGAACAUAGAUUCGAGACUUGUGAAGGGAGAAGAGACAAAUAGUGAUGAACAAAAUUCCAAAUCCUUUUAUUAAAAAUAGUGAUGUAUGUCAUCCAUGAGGGUACUAUAUUUUUUGUUUGACACAUUUAAUAUGAGCCAGUAGAAUACUUAUGUCAGUG